AUUGAACGCUGGCGGCAGGCCUAACACAUGCAAGUCGAACGAGUGGCGGACGGGUGAGUAAUGUCUGGGAAACUGCCUGAUGGAGGGGGAUAACUACUGGAAACGGUAGCUAAUACCGCAUACCAUCAGAUGUGCCCAGAUGGGAUUAGCUUGUUGGUGGGGUAACGGCUCACCCAGGCGACGAUCCCUAGCUGGUCUGAGAGGAGGACCAGCCAAACGGGGAAUGAGACACGGCCCAGACUCCUACGGGAGGCAGCAGUGGGGAAUAUUGCACAAUGGGCGCAAGCCUGAUGCAGCCAUGCCGCGUGUGUGAAGAAGGUCUUAGGAUUGUAAAGUACUUUAAGUGGGGAGGCGUUACCAACAGAAGAAGCACCGGCUAACUUCGUGCCAGCAGCCGCGGUAAUUC
rnacentral:rRNA from 1 species